GUGAGAGGAUAAAUCACCUUCCAAAUGUCACAUAACAGGUUUGGGCCCUCAUGGGUGACAGAAAAGUCUCACAGUACUGGUUCCUGUUUGAACACACAUGUUCGCUGUGUCUCGCCUUGCAGUGGGAGGACAGAGAAGGCUGGAAUCACCGCAUUCCCAUAGCAAGGGCAAUCUUUAAAGGCAGUAAGGUGUGACGCUCCAGACUGGCAGCUUGGCAAGACGGAGCCCAUGGAUACCAGCACACGGGAAUCUGGACCGUUCACUCUGACAGCAGUCAGCACUGGGAACAAAAGGAAUGGGGGAAAAAAAGCGCAAAUGUAUUUUUACAUAUUGUAGGCAUAUGGCCACAAGACCAGCAGAAAUAUAUUUAAUUACCAAUUGCGUGCAUUGAGGAGAAAAACACUA